GACCUUCGGGAGCUUGCACAGGUGCUGCAUGGCUGUCGUCAGCUCGUGUCGUGAGAUGUUCGGUUAAGUCCGCUAACGAGCGCAACCCUCGCUGUGUGUUAUAUGUGUCACACGGGACUGCCGGUCUUAAGCCGGAGGAAGGUGGGGAUGAUGUCAAGUCAGCAUGGCCUUUAUAUCCUGGGCUACACACACGCUACAAUGGCCAACACAAUAGGUUGCUAAGCCGCGAGGUGGCGCCAAUCCAUAAAGUUAGGUCUCAGUUCAGAUUGUAGGCUGCAACCCGCCUGCAUGAAGAUGGAGUUGCUAGUAACCGCAGGUCAGCUAUACUGCGGUGAAUACGUUCCCGGGUCUU
rnacentral:rRNA from 1 species